GAUGAACGCUGGCGGCGUGCCUAAUACAUGCAAGUCGAGCGAACAGACGAGGAGCUUGCUCCUCUGACGUUAGCGGCGGACGGGUGAGUAACACGUGGAUAACCUACCUAUAAGACUUGGAUAACUUCGGGAAACCGGUGCUACUACCGGCUAAUAUAUCCUACCGCAUGGUUCAAUAGUGCAUGACGGUUUUGCUGUUACUAAUAGAUGAAUCCGCGCCGCAUUAGCUAGUUGGUAAGGUAACGGCUUACCAAGGCGACGAUGCGUAGCCGACCUGAGAGGAUGAUCGGCCACACUGGAACUGAGACACGGUCCAGACUCCUACGGGAGGCAGCAGUAGGGAAUCUUCCGCAAUGGGCGAAAGCCUGACGGAGCAACGCCGCGUGAGUGAUGAAGGUCUUCGGAUCGUAAAACUCUGUUAUUAGGGAAGAACAAAUGUGUAAGUAACUAUGCACGUCUUGACGGUACCUAAUCAGAAAGCCACGGCUAACUACGUG
rnacentral:rRNA from 1 species